rnacentral:rRNA from 1 species
AACGAACGCUGGCGGCAUGCCUAACACAUGCAAGUCGAACGAGACCUUCGGGUCUAGUGGCGCACGGGUGCGUAACGCGUGGGAACCUGCCCUUAGGUUCGGAAUAACUCCCCGAAAGGGGUGCUAAUACCGGAUAAUGUCUUCGGACCAAAGAUUUAUCGCCUUUGGAUGGGCCCGCGUUGGAUUAGCUAGUUGGUAGGGUAAAAGCCUACCAAGGCGACGAUCCAUAGCUGGUCUGAGAGGAUGAUCAGCCACACUGGGACUGAGACACGGCCCAGACUCCUACGGGAGGCAGCAGUGGGGAAUAGUGGAAAAUGGGCGAAAGCCUGAUCCAGCAAGGCCGGGUGAGUGAUGAAGGCCUGAGGGUUGUAAAGCUCUUUUACCCGGGAUGAUAAUGACAGUACCGGGAGAAUAAGCACCGGCUAACUCCGUG